rnacentral:lncRNA from 1 species
AGGACACCAUGAUUGGUCAGAUCUCGGUCACAUGACUACCUUAGUUGCCAGGAUGGUCAGGGACUCUGACCAGAAGAAGGGAAAUGGGGAGGACCGUUCAGAGAAGCCGAAACCAGCAGAUACCCAGACCGACAAACAUUGCUGCCAUGUGAGGAAGCAGAUACAAACCCCUGUUGCCCUGCGAUGCUUCCUCCAUUCACAGAACAUCCAGGGUGGCCAGCAUCCUGCCUCAGAGGAGGGAUGGCACAGCUCUGACAGCUCUGAACACAGAGACCAGAAGAGUCAAAAGACCCUGGGUGAAUGCAUAGUAAUGCAUGAAGGACUACACAGCAGUGACCUGUAUGGACGGAAGACAAGACCAGAUGGGACCACACAUAGCACAGCGGGAACCAGCGGAGACAAAUGACAGCGCUAAGACCAAACACGUGACUUCAACAAGAUCCCAGAGGAGGAAGAACAGCCAUCUGACGGACGUUCAGUUUCUACCGUCUGAGUCAAGCCCAGUUCCAUCAUCUUCUAAACUCUACUUCUUACAUUCCUGAGAUUUGAGAUGAGGUUUGUGCCCACCACAUAACUGGGGCCUCCCUUCUUGUUCCCGGGACCCCCGGGCCCAGCUUCCACUUCUCCAGCUGUACCCAGCUGUCCUCAGGCCGAGCAGGGACUGGAUUUCUGGGAGAAUCAGCGCUGCAUCCCAGGUCUCACUGCCCC